AGUGUCGUCGUACGUGCGGCCAAAGUUGUGCAGACUGCUCCGCUUCUGCUCCUCGCACGCAAAAAAAAGUGGAAAAUACAAAUGGGACGGGAUGCACAAUGAGCUACAGCAUGAUGGCGGCUGUGUAACGACGCCGUCUAUCUUCUUGGGAGCGGUGACAGGCGUCUGGAGCUGAUUCGCCCUCCACCCUGGCUCGAAAAGCACAGCCCACCCGCAUAAUUUGCUGCGAGUCGCCAGAUUACCAAUGUGUGCUCAGAUGUCAUUUUGGUGAUGCUGUUUUCUUUUUUCCCUCCCUAUGCAAGCAAGGUCACUAAAGUUGUGUCGAUAUUUCCCCAAUGUGAUAAUAAAAAGUCAAAGCCAA